UACGUAGGGUGCAAGCGUUAAUCGGAAUUACUGGCGUAAAGCGUGCGCAGGCGGCUUUGCAAGACAGAUGUGAAAUCCCCGGGCUUAACCUGGGAACUGCAUUUGUGACUGCAUGGCUGGAGUGCGGCAGAGGGGGAUGGAAUUCCGCGUGUAGCAGUGAAAUGCGUAGAUAUGCGGAGGAACACCGAUGGCGAAGGCAAUCCCCUGGGCCUGCACUGACGCUCAUGCACGAAAGCGUGGGGAGCGAAACAAGGAUUGAGAA
rnacentral:rRNA from 1 species